UUCCUACGGGGGGCAGCAGUGGGGAAUAUUGGGCAAUGGGCGCAAGCCUGACCCAGCAACGCCGCGUGAAGGAAGAAGGCUUUCGGGUUGUAAACUUCUUUUAUGAGGGACGAAACAAAUGACGGUACCUCAUGAAUAAGCCCCGGCUAACUACGUGCCAGCAGCCGCGGUAAUACGUAGGUGGCAAGCGUUAUCCGGAUUUACUGGGUGUAGAGGGCGUGUAGGCGGGACUGCAAGUCA
rnacentral:rRNA from 1 species